rnacentral:rRNA from 1 species
UACGUAGGGUGCAAGCGUUAAUCGGAAUUAUUGGGCGUAAAGAGCUUGUAGGCGGUUUGUCGCGUCUGCUGUGAAAAUCCGGGGCUCAACCCCGGACUUGCAGUGGGUACGGGCAGACUAGAGUGUGGUAGGGGAGACUGGAAUUCCUGGUGUAGCGGUGAAAUGCGCAGAUAUCAGGAGGAACACCGAUGGCGAAGGCAGGUCUCUGGGCCACUACUGACGCUGAGAAGCGAAAGCAUGGGGAGCGAACAGG